AGGAUUUUAAGCAAAAAUAGAGACGGGCUGCCUGUUCACUCCAAUCACUAAAAGCCCCUUACAAUGAGUUGAACUUGGACUAAAAGGAUAUUAGAUUCUGUUACCUAAUUACUGCUUGUCUUUUAGAGUCAUCAUGAGGAAGUCCAUCGUCAAGAACUUGGGAGGUUUCAGUUGCAGUGGAUUAUAAGAGGCACUGGAACAGCUGAUAUACUGAGGGACCUCCCACCUGAACGGGACAAUUGAACUUUGCUUUGGUAAGGGAUGACUUGCCGGAAGAUGAAAAGCCUUGUGGUGGAACAUGAGUGGAGCUCUUCACAGCUCCCCAGGCAUUGCUGAUGCAGCAUGGGGCAGACGGUGUGGUACAGGGAUGACAUAAGAGACAUCUUGGAAGAGGCAAAGCUUGAGACAGGUCUUCAAGGAUUGGCACCAUCUGGACAGGUUGAAGAGGAGUAGGAGGAGACUUUCAGAUGUGGAGAAUGGCAUGCACAAAAGCACGGAGCAACACUUUAUGCCAGUUGGAUUAUGGUCCAGUGGGAGAAAGAUCAAUUAAGGCGAAACCACAGUAGAGAAAGCACUGGAGAACAACAUUCAUUC